rnacentral:lncRNA from 10 species
CUGAGAAUGCGCAGGCGCAGGCGCUCGAGUUGCUGGGAGCCAUAGACCUCGAAGCUGGGGCGUCUGACACCUGAGGCCCGAAGAUAGUGGCCGCAGUUGUAUUAUCUUGUGCAUUUGUCAAGAGAGGUCAUCCGAACGCUGAGAUAAAGGCUUGGGAUUCCAUUGUCUCAUCUCUUUCUGGGAGUGAUUUUCCUCUCAUCUGGAAGUGCAGAGACAGAGUCUUCAUAGGGAACUGAGAUUACCUCCAAAAAACAUUUGUGAAGUGAGCAAUUCCUAGAAGGCUGUUAAUGUUGAUUAAUGAAAUUAUACAAAAAGAAUCAUAAGAUAGCUGGAGAAGAAAAUUAUCUGUGAUGCCUGGAAAAGAUACGUCCCAGUGGGAGGUAAGUACAGAAUCCUGAGUUCUGAGAUGUGAGGAAUUCAGUUGAGGUAAUGGUUCUACUAUAAUUGUGGCUACCAUUAAAUUUUUGUUUCUUCAAAUUAUGAUUUAUUUCUCUUCCUGAUAACAUUGAACAAUCAUAAAUGUGGAGGGAAAGGAAUCAUUGAGGGUUGAUUUAGAGAGAGUAAACAGGUGUAAAGCCAUGGUUCCUGUGUGUUUUAACAAAUACUAACUGAGCACCCGCCCUGUUGCAGAUGCAUUUCUAGAUGUGUGAACAAAGAAAUUUAUCUACCUUAAUUUGAAUUGAGAGAAGCAGACAAUAAAUAAUAAAGGAAAUGUUAUAAGUUACAUAGUGACUUAUAAGGUGUUAUAAGUUAUGUAACCUAUGUUACAUAUAUGUAACUUAUGCUAUAAGUUAUGUUAUAAGUUAUGUUAUAUACAAUAUAACAUAACAAGUUAUGUUAUAUAUGUUAUGUUAUAACUUAUGUUGACAGUCCUCAGAAGGUCUCCCUCUCCCUCUCCCGUCUCCCUCUCCC